rnacentral:lncRNA from 1 species
AUGUUGGAUAAUAAGGAGGCAUUAAGGAAGAGCCUAUUAAACAUCAAAUUAAGUUAUGAUUUUACAAAUGAAGCACCAAAACAUCAUGUUAGACAACAAAUUUGGCAGAAAAAUGUAUUAUCCAAAGCAGUUUGCCUUUUAGUAGUCAAUGUUUUUGUAGUCAAUUUUUCAAUAAAUUACGAAAUUUUGGUGCUAAAUUCAUAAAUACAGUAAUUAUUACAUAACGUUAUCGUGUACUGAACUGCUUUUUCUAUCCAUUUGUUGUAAAGUAUGAUGUUUUGGUGCUUAAUUUGUAAAAUCAUAACAUAAUUUGAUGUUUAAUCGGCUUUUCCUUAAUCCCUCCUUAUUAUUAUCAGAUUUAUUAAAUUCAAGCCAAGUUGUUACCACAGACUUUAAAGAAGGAAUUUUUGCUUAUCCAAUGUUCUGCCAGCCCGUUUAUGUUGGAUAAGCGAGACUCUACUGUAAUAAUAAUAAUAAUAAUCUACAACCCACCGUUUUAUAUACAAUGGGAAUUGCUCUCAUUUCAAACACUAGUUGCCCAUUUUUCAUGCAGCAAUGCUAAGCCCAGGGAUAAGACAAUCUCAUGCAAGGCCCAUAAACUUCCUUUACCAAAAAUCUAUGUUGACGGAAAGCUUUGAACUUUUAAUGAGGGAUUUAGUAGAAGUAGAAAAACAAAUAGUACAUAAUUUGGUCCUUAAAUGAGAUAUAACAAGAACUUAUACCAAGACUUUGAAUGCAGAAAGGAAGCUGUUCAUGGAAGCUGAUUUAAAGGUUAUCCCUGUGGCCUUUUCAUGUGAGAUUAUAUAGGCAGACUCAGCCCAUGAUAGUUUGCUGUCCAAAGUGACAAAGUAGACUGGCAGUUUAUUCUUAUUUCAACACCAGUGGCUUUUGGUGGCACCUGUCUCUUUGAACAGUAAAUGUGCUUUUAGUUUUAAUCCAGUUUUUAGGAGCUAUCCAAGUGAUGGAUUUAUUCAGCAUCUUGGCUCCCUCCUUUGAAGUUCAGCCAAAUCAAUGGAUCAGGUUUACCACCUAACUGGCACAGAGGCCAAUGGUCACUGUUAACAGAGCUACUUUAGGGUGCCCAAGCAUUCUUGUGUGACAGUCAAGGUCUGCCUUUCAACAGAAGACAACAACUGGAGAGUUCAAGACUAACAAGACUAACAACUGGGAGGUAGCUAUAGGCCCCUCUACACUACCAUCAAGGCUGUAGACAAGGAGGGCGGGGAGUAGGAGUUCAACCCUUCUCCCCGAAAAUUUUCAGGUUUUUUAAAAAACCUGGUUUACUCAUGAAUUUUAACUGGUUAACCAAGUCCCCAUGAGAGUCCACCAAAGUUUAUCUGUCUUGAGUGUCCACUGAAGUUUAUCGAUGGAGCCUGAUUUCUAUUUUGUGUUAUGGGACUACUCUAAAAAAAGUUUCAAAGCCCCCCCCCCCCUGAUUUUUCUGGCUUUGGCCUUAACUGCCAUAUAAUACAAAUCAUCGUAUCAGAUAAUCCACAUUAUCUGCUUUGAACUGGAUUACAUGAGUCUACACCGCCAUAUAAUCCAGUUCAAAGCAGAUAAGGUAAAGGUAAAGGUUUCCCCUGACGUUAAGUCCAGUCGUGACCAACUUAGGGGGUUGGUGCUCAUCUCCAUUUCUAGGCCGAAGAGCCGGCGUUGUCCAUAGACACCUCCAAGAUCAUGUGGCCGGCAUGACUGCAUAGAGCGCUGUUACCUUCCCGCCGGAGCUGUACCUGUUGUUCUACUCACAUUUGCAUGUUUUCGAACUGCUAGGGUGGCAGGAGCUGGGGCUAACAGCGGGCACUC